ACUGCUAGAGGUGGGCUGAAAACUCAGGCAGGAGUUGAUGCUGUGGUCUUGGGAGAGAAUUUCUUCCUCCUGGAAGAACUGUUUUUGUUCUGAAGGCCUUCACUUGAUUCAGUAAAGUCCACUCACCCAUAUAUUAAUGAUAAAUUACUCAAAGUCAGCUGAUUGUAGAUGUUAAUCACACCUAAAAAUACCUUCGCAACAAUAUCCAAGUUGAUGUUUGAUGAAAUACUGGGUGCUCUAGUCUAGCCAACUUUGUUAAACUAUCAUAGACAGUAUACUUAAACUAUGAGGCUAAAACUAUAUGAUUUGAUUAGGGUCGGGUGUGGAUAAUGUUAGCCCCUUUGAUCUGGAAACUACUUUAGUGGUAAUGUGGCAUAACAUUUUAUUAACCUUUAAGAAAUAUCUAGAUGGCAUCCACUCAUUUACAUGAACAUGUAGCACCUUUGCAAGCAGGAGGCCUGGAACCUGCUGGAGGAGCUCCUGAUCCAGGUGAGAGAGUGUCUGACAACAAAGGGAGACCCCAGAUUGAAGGGUGGGGUGGGGAGUGGAAGGACUCUGUCAAGGAGUCUAGAGGGAGGGAAGGAGUCAGUUUCUUUGACAGGCUCCUACUUUGUUUUCAGGAGCUGUUAAUGUACCCCUCCCCACUCCCAGUGCAGCCCUUUUGUGCACAUGUCCCUAACUACCACCUAGAUAGAAGCUAGUAGCAUGGUUUCAGUUCAUAAUUACUUAUCGUAUUAUGUCUUCUACAAGUUAUUUACAGCCUAAUAGAUGAGUCUUAAAAUUUGAAAACCAUGUCAUGGAAAUACAUUCAGUGCAGCAGAACUUUAGACUUUAAAGGGAGGGAGGGAGCUAUUUUUGGAAACUCGCACAAGAUUCAUCAGGUGGACCAGCUGUGUCCCACUCUCCAUUCCUGAAAUCUGUUCACUCUCCCUGUCAAGAGGCUGACCUCUCCCAGAACUGCUUAUGCCCCAUUAGCCUGCAGGGCCGGCCCUCCUGCAUUGAGGCAGCUGUGCUGCCUCUGUCCCUGGUUUGAUUUCCUAAUUCCCUUAUUAAUAUCAAGAGAGAUUGAGCAGCUGAAGGGUCAGCAGGAGAAAACAAAAAAAUGGACCGUUUUACUUAAAAAAUAGUGUAAAACUGCAACAUCCAUCAUCCAAAUCUAUUGAUUUUAAGAUGGUACCAGGUGGCUGCAAAACUUGCUUAAAAUAUGUAUCUAGUAACUUAUGGGAAAAUACCAAGAUUUGUGCUGGGUUAUGUCCUGGGUUCAUUCUGUUAAUAAGUGGUAUCAAUUUGUAGUGAGGUAUUUCAUAGUAGGAUAUUCAUAGCAUUGGUGACUCACAGAUAACUUUAGGUGGUACAUGGAUGAUGUUUUAUUCUAAAUAGAUGUGCUUAUUUAUCUUAGUACUUAUUCUUAUAAAAUGUGGUAUAAGUUUGUAGUUAUUUUAAUGUACAUUGAAAAGUAUAACUAUUGUAUUAAGCUAUAUAAAAUUAUCAUUAUUUCAUAUAGCUUAACAUAACAUUAAUAAAAAUUUGAGUCUAUUUGAAGAAAAUGCUAAAUAAAUAACAGACAGUAGGCAGACACAGUAAAAUUAUGACAGUGACCUGAGAAUGACUACAAUUAGAAAGCACAUAUCCAAUGAGAAAAGGCUGGACUUUGCUAUCAGGACUUUCUUUAAAUUUCAGCUCCAUGAUGGUUUCUUUAAGGUUUUAUAUUUUCAUCCACAAAGUAGAAAUGACAAUAUUUAACCUUUAGGAUAUGCUUGAGGAUUAGAGAUAAUAAUAUGAAGUAUCUGGCACAUUAUAGGCAUUCUGUAAAUAGAAAUUAUUGCUUUUAGUAUUUUAGAUCUAUCAGAAGAAAAUACCACACCUGCCACAAAGAUGAGAACAAAGUGUAAAGAUCUAGCAGUAAGACAAAAAGGCAGAAAACCCUUUAAAUCUGUGAGCCUGCAUCAGAGUAAUUAAGCAGCAGUGCAGCUGACCCAGUUUAGGGUACUUCAUUAUCUGAUAUUAGCUUCAAACACAAAAGCAGCACGAGAAUACAACAGUCAGGAUGAGCCACACUAGACCCUACACAAAAGUAGAUUCAAUGGUUUGCAAAGUGUCAUGAGCUUCAGUUAAAGGUGCAAAGAGGGAGGACUGACAGCCCUCUGACCCUUCAGAGGAAAUGGAGACAGUGACACGGACCCCUGGCUAAGUGGAAGUACUGAGAGGGGCUUGAAAGGCCAUUCUGUGCCAAGGGUCUCAUGAGCCCAUCUCAUGAGUGUUUGGAGACUUCAUUAAAUGAAAGUAACAAUACAGACUUAGUGUUUUAUCCCCUUUCUCUAUUUUAGUGAUUCAGAUCUUGUGAGUAAACACUCAGGCCUCCAAAGUAUUUCUUCUCAUCCUUUCAUCCAUCUUAGUCAAUACAUUCAUUUGCUUUUCCUCUAAGGGAAACCAGAUUCUGCUGUGUGGGUGAAUCCAAGCCCGCUACGUUAGCCUGCUAGGGCUACUGUAACAAAGUACCCCAGAUGGGGUGGUUUAGAAAACAGAUUUAUUUUCUCUCUCUUCUGGAGGACAGAAGUCUGAGGUGAGGGUGUCAGCAAGGCUGGUUUCCCCUGAGGCUUCUCUCUGUGGCAUGUGCAUGGCCUCCUGCUUCCUGGGUCCUCACUCUGCAUCUGUCUGUGCCCAACUUUCUUCUUCGUAUAAGGACACCGGUCAAAUUGGAUUAGGACACUCCCUCAUAAUCUUACUUUAAUCUAAUUACCCCUGUAAAAGCCUAUCUCCAAAAUAUAGUCACAUUCUAUGGUACAAGUGUUAGAACUUCAACAUAUGAAUUUGGGGGGACAUAACUCAGCUCAUAUAUGUGCCCAUUAACCAUUCCUGGAAAGAGGGAAUUCACAUUGAGACCCACUGAUUAGACAAUAAGCUUCAUCUUCUUCUCAGUGAACAGUGUCUAGUUGUCCAUAUCUUUGCAGUAUAUCCUAAGGAUUAGAGCCAAAUAACCAUCUUUCUGUGAAGUUGUGAAAUUAAUGAAGUUAAAUUUCAUUUGAACAUAUUAUAAAAAGAUUAAGAGGCAACACACUAUGAUUGGUGUGUUAAUUGCCAUUUACAGCUGAUGAAUGUUUUGUAAACACUGGCAUAUAGUAUAUUCUCCCUCAGUUUUUCUAGCCUCAAUUCCAGCCCUAAAUGUGCUAUUUUAAUUUCCCUUUAAGUUUGAUUUGGAUUAUGGUUCUGCCACUAGUUAUUUGAGUGGCUUUGGGCAAGUUUGCCCACCUGGGUCUCAGUCCACUCCUGUGUAAGGAGGGGAUGAUUAUUACCUGAUAGGGAGGCUAAGGGAUAACAGGACAAAAAAAGCGCUGCGAGGUUUGUUUGUAUACAGGGUGUAUUAAAAAAGAGGGUGGCUUCUUGGAUGUUGGAUUGGGAAGCAGUAAGAAGUAAGAAGAGGAAUGGUCUUCUUCAACCCAUGUUCUCUGUCAAACACAGAAACUAUUGUAGAUUACUCCCAAAUCAUUCAUUCAAAUCAAUAUCCUUUUGUGAAUUCAGAAAGAUACAUUCAUAUGGAGCUGUAGCAGGCCCAGCACGUGUAAUACUAUCUUCAAAGAAUUCACUUAAAAACAUGAACUCUUAUGUCUUCUAUCUAUAUCAUCAGUUCCUUCAAAAGAGUAAACAGUACAGCUGGGGAUUCUAUAUGUAUCAGAGAAAACAGCAUGAAGCUGUAAGUGAUGUUGCCAGGAUAUGCAUGCAUUUGAAUUCUGAUCCAGCUGAAGCUGCCCUCUUUGGAAAAAAUGUUUAAUUUUGACACAAGAAAGAAUGUGCCCAGAAUAUUUUCUGGCCACUCAUAGCCCUGGCUGUAAAAAUAAAUGUGAAAAGUAAGAAACUGGGCACCUUUUCUUUCUCCUCUGGACUCUGUUGUUCAUCCUGAAUUCUCUGCUUUGCUAGGCAUUAUAUUUGAAAUCUUAGAG